AAAUAAGCUCAGCAAUGGUCACAGUUGAGAAUUCGAGUUUGCAAAGUAGUAUUGGUAUUGAUGAGAAAAUUAAACAACCGAUAUAUGCCAGAGUAAACAAUAACUAUGCCAAGUUAUUCUUUAAACUUUAGAAUGUGAAAAUUAGAUCAAUUGGAAUGCUUUUGUAAAAUAUUGUCUAGUGGUUUGAAAGUAGCCAGCGAAAGACAACACAAACAAGGACAGAAAGGAACUACCAAGUAAUUUGA